rnacentral:rRNA from 1 species
GAUGAACGCUGGCGGCGUGCCUAAUACAUGCAAGUCGAGCGAACAGACGAGGAGCUUGCUCCUCUGACGUUAGCGGCGGGCGGGGGAGUAACAUGUGGAGAACCGACCUAUAAGACUGGGAUAACUUCGGGAAACCGGAGCUAAUACCGGAUAAUAUAUUGAACCGCAUGGUGCAAUAGUGAAAGACGGUUUUGCUGUCACUUAUAGAUGGAUCCGCGCCGCAUUAGCUAGUUGGUAAGGUAACGGCUUACCAAGGCGACGAUGCGUAGCCGACCUGAGAGGGGGAUCGGCCACCCUGGACCUGAGACACGGCCCAGACCCCUACGGAAGGAAGAAGUGGGAAUUCUUGCGCAAUGGGCGAAAGCCUGACGAAGAAACGCGGGGUGAGUGAUGAAGCUCUUCGGUUCGUAAGACUCUGUUAUCGGAAAAAAACAAAUGUGUAUGUAACUAUGCGCGUCUUACGGGUACCUAAUAAGAAGGACCCGCCAACCUACUU